UGGUUUUUCAGAAGUAGAUCACUAAGCCUUUCUUCUCAGGUGUCUCCAGAUGGACUUGAACUUCUAACCUCUAGGUUGGUAGCCAAGGGUGUUAACUGGUUAAUUAUGUUAAUUAGGUUAGGUGUGUCCCUGGGGGUACAGUCUUAUGUGAAAAUUGUGCAAAGAGGCCUUUUUUUGUUGUUAAGGUGUUCAGAAAGUUUAGUAACUUCUUAACUCUCGAUCAAGGUGUGAGACUGGGGCUGAAUUGCCUCUUGUCUUAAUUUUGCUAUAUCCUGGUAAGUAUAGUGUGUACAGUCAUCACUAAAGCUCAUGCGAAGUGUUUAAUAAAUAUUUCUUGAACAAAUGAGUGAAUGAAUCAGCGAAUUCCCCUUCUGAAUAAAGGAACUUGUGGACUCUUAAUAGGACUUAGAAGGAAUUUAGGUCCCUGGGUGGCAUAAGCGGUUUGUACUCAGAUACUAACCUAAAGAUUGGUAGUUGGAAUCCCCUCAGUGGGGUGGCCCUGUGAAAGAAAGGCCUGGCAAUCUACUUCCAUAAGAUUAUAGCCAGUUCUACCCUGACACACGUGGGGGGUUGCCAUGAGUUGGAGUUGAUUCAAUGCCAGCUGGUUUGUUUUUCGGUUAUCGAGGGGAUUUAAAAUAAAACACUAAAAAUGUACCGAGGAUGAGGUAGAUUAUUAGCAUAAGGUUUCAGGGAGAUUGAUAAUCUUUAGCAUGGGUUUUUAUACCUUGGUUGUACCCAACCUGGUUAACCAGAAAUCGUGAACCAUGAAUGCAGAGUAUUUCCCUAAUGAGUAAAAUUCGAGAGGAAGUGAGUGGCCAAGAAAGAUAACAAAAUAACAGGGACUCCAUUGAGUGGAAAAUAACCUGGAGAAGAAGGAAGACUCCUUACCCAAAUGAUAUAGAACCUCCAACAAACAUUUUGGCUCUUUGACACCCAAAUCAGAGAAAUGAGGCUUAGUAAUUUACAACACUGAUGUGAAGCUUAAUAGAACCGUUAGCACGAGCUUACAUUGUGGACCCAUCACAUCUGACCUAAAAUAGCCCAACCACUCAAGACGGGUGGUAUUUGUUUCCUUCCUCUUCUAUACUCACUGAUGAUAAUUAAGAGCGAAGCUGGGAAAACUAAAAAAAGGUCUUAAAAAAGAAGAAGUGCUUGAAAAUGUUUGGUGUGAGUUUCAGUACACUUUCGGUCAGCCUACACCCUGUCAAUUCCUCACUGUGCUUUCCCCCAUUAAUCCUCCCAACUCUUUUCAGUACACACGCAACCUCAUCCAUGGAGCUUUCCUUUUAGUGUGAAAUGUGCUGUGUGACUAUCUCUCAUACUUUCUGGAAUGCUCCGGGGGAUGCUUGGUAGUGGGUGUAGGGUAGGCAAACAUCAGUGGUCAUGUCCAGGUGGGACCUUGUAUUUUGAUGCUACUCCUAAUGCUGUUGUUGUUAGCUGCCAUCGAGUUGAGCCCCCCAUGUACAACAAGAUCAGACUGUUGUGAUCCGUACAGUUUUCAUUGGCUGAUUUUUUGGAAAUAGAUUGCUAGGUCUUUCUUAGUCUGCCUUAGUCUGGAAUCUCCACUGAAUCCUGUUCAGCAUCACAGCAACAGGCAAGCCUGCGCUGACAGAUGGGUGAUGGCUGUACGUAAGGUGCCCUGGCUGGGAAUAGAAUGUGGGUCUCCCGCAUGGAAGGUGAGAGUUCUACCACUCAACCACCACCGCCCCUAUUACUCCUAAUAACCAGUUGUCCUUGAGUUGAUUCCGACUCAUGGCAACCCCAUGUGUGUCAAAGUAGAACUGUGCUCCGUAGAGUUUUCAGUGGCUGAUUUUUAAGAAGUAGAUCAUCAGGCCUUUCUUCCAAGGUGCCUCUGGGUGGACUCGAACUGCUAACCUUUCUGUUAGCAGCUGAUUGUUUAACCAUUUGCACCACACAAGGACGCCCUACUCUUAAGAAGUUAAAAAAAAAAAAAAAACCAUUGCCGUCCAGUUGAUUCCGACUCCUAGUGACCAUAUAGGACAGAGUAGAAUGGCCCCAUAGGCUUUCCAAGGAGCAACUGGUGGAUUCAAGCUGCCAAACAUUUGGCUAACCUCAGAACGCUUAACUGCUGCGCCACCAGGGCUCCCUUAAAAAUAGACCCUAAUAAAUUAGUACACCAGUUGGAGUUUAGAUUUGAGGCAUGCACUAUGAACUAGUAGAAUUGAACAGGGAAAAUAUAGGGUUGUUUACCUAGAAGAAGAUAUUUAAUUAAAGUAAAAAGAAAAAAUAAGAGAGUUUGGUUUGUGUAGAGGAGAGUCAAAGAGAAAUAUGUUUGUUGCAACAUUGUUAUAACUGUGAAAUAUUAGUAACAGUAGAAAAAUGAUUAUGUCAGUUAUGGUACACUGACUUAAUGGAUUGUAUGUUACCAAUAAGCAUUGUUAUAAAGAGUUACUAAUCACACAAAGGAGUUGAUACAUUCUCUAAUAGUGUAGCUAAAAUUGUCUGCCCGGCAAUCUGAUUAUCUUCAAAAGGAAGUCCCUUUGCUUUUAGGAUAAAGUGUAAACUCAAUAAUGUAUCUUUCAUUACCUUUCUAGACGCAACUUUCAAAACUUCCCUUGUCUCUUCCCCUCUGCGCUGCACAUGUACCAUUCCCUCUGCCUAGAACCAGUACCAAUACCUGUUGCUGUCAACUCUGAUUCCUGGAGACUCCACAUGUGUCAGAGCAGAACUGUGCUCCGUAACGUUUUCAGUGGCUGAUUUUUCAGAAGUAGAUCACCAGGGCUUUCUUGCCUCUGGGUGGACUCCAACCUCCAAAUUUCAGUUAGCAAGCCAGGCGCAUUAACCAUUUGCAUCAGCCAGGGACCUGCCUAGAACAGUCCUUCCUUACUUCCCAGGUAACUUCAGCUGCUAACUCCUGCUAAUUCUUCAGGUCUUGGCUUUGAUCUCACUUCACGAGGGGAAGGCUUCCCCGACCACAUCCCCAGGACCAGGUUCGGGACUAUGGAAGGUUGAACUUUCCACACAGUAUUAUAAUUGCCCAUUUGUCUGCAUGGACGCUUCUUACAUUAGAGCAUAAGCUCAGUGAGGGGCUAAUAAUACUCUUCACACAAAAACAUGCUCAGUGAGUAUUUGAUGGCUGAGUUUUAAAACUGAGUAAAAAAGGAAGGAUAGAUAAUUAUAUUUAUGAAAUAAGUACAAUUUUUUAAAAAUUAUACCUUUUAAAAAACAGGAAAGAAAUACUGUACAGCAAAGUGUUCCUGUUAUGUUUGCCAGAUUUCUAUUGUGAUUGUGUAUUAUUUUUACAACUAUAAAGAAUAUCUUUGUUAUUUUAAAGAUGCAAUGAAAAAAAUAAACCUUCUUAAUUCAAUAGUAUAGUCAAGAACAGCCUGUAACAGUGCUGUGAGUAGGAGAAAAAAAAAAAAAGCCUGGGGUAAGGUUUGGGUGGAGAGAAGUUAGAUCUACAUAAACUCCCCAGAUGUAGGCCAUGGUAGAGGUGAGAGCCCAGAGUGUGAAGGGAAAUGAAACCAGGGCUGGUAACACCUGCCCAGCGGUAGGCAGGAAGCCACCCCAAGAAAGAAGGCAAAGCUUGCAGAGUGUUAUGGGUUGAAUUAUGUUCUCCCAAAAGAUACGUUGAAGACCUAACCCCUGGUUUCUGUGAACAUGACUUUGGAAAUGGGGUCUUUGCAGACGUUAUCAGUUAAGUUACAUGAGGUCAGAUUAGAGUAGGGUGGUCCUAAUCCAAUCAUACUUCCUACUACUACCAGUUGCCCUCAAGUCCACUCCAACCCAUGGUGACCACAUGCGUGUCAGAGCAGAACUGUGCUCCGCAGGGUUUCCAGUGGUUGAUUUUUUGGAAAUGGAUUGCCAAGCCUUUCUUUUGAGCUGCCUUUGGGUAGACAUGUACCUCUAACCUUUUGGUUAGCAGUUGAGAGUGUUAACUGUUUGCACUGCCCAGGGGCUUCAAUCCAAUCUAGAGAUGUCCUUGUAAGAGAAGAGCACAGACAGACAGACAAAAGAGAGCCACGUGAAGCUGGAGGUAGAGAUUGUUACAAAUGCAAGCCAAGGAACACCUAGGGCUACCAGAAGCUGAGGGAGAAAAGAAAGGGUCUUCCCCUAGAGCUCUUUGAAGAGAUCAUGGCCUGGCCCACACACUGAUUUGGACUUUGAGUCCCCCAAACUGUGAGACAAUAAAUUUCUGUUCUUUAAACCUUCUGUUUUGAGGUGUGUGGUUAUGGCAGCACUGGGAAACUAACACAGAGAGGUUUAGGCAGGAACAGGGGUGGUAGGGGAGAAGAUGGCUCAGUGAUGCUGAAGAACGAGGAAGGAAUCUUGAGGAAGUAGCUGGAGAUAAUCUGAGAGGCAGGAGUACCUGGGUGGUGAGAUGGUUAAGUGCUCAGCUAAUAAUUAAAAGGUUGGUGGUUUGAAUUCACUCAGAGGCACCUCGAAAGAAAGGCCUGGAGAUCUACUUCCAUGAGGCCACAGCCAUUGACAACCCUAUAGAGCACAGUUCUAAUCUGAAACACAUGGGGUCACCAUGAGUUGGAACCAACUCGAAAGCAACUGGUUGGUUAACUGAAGAGGUGACAAAGGACAGCCAGGAACAGAUAGCUUCCACCAGGACAAGGAAGGCCUUGAUUGGUUUAGAUCCAUAAAGGUAAGAGCGAGAGUGACAUAGGGGCUAUCAAGGAAAUCAAGUGGUGGUGGCGGAGUGUAGAUAAAAAUGUACACAAGCUACAAGAUUCUAGAAAAAGAUCCCAAGAGAAACACAAAGGACACAUGCCACUUGGCAAAAGGAACAUCCAGUUUUAUCUGGAGAAACAAAACAAAAAAUGAAGGGGCAAAAAGAAAGGGGUCAAAGGUAAAGAAAGCUUGGGAGUUUAAAUAAGAUGAAUAAAUCUACCCAAGUGGUGAAACUCAGCUGAAAGUUGGCAGGAGUAUGACUAACCCCGAGAACCAGGGGCACAGCCUCCCAAGGGAAGAACUGGAGAGACAAGAGGGGCAGGAGUGAGAGGUGUUUACUUUGCUGUGGGAACUGGGAGGAGGUGGGUGUCAGGGACAGCUUCUGGUUUGCUUGCUGGUUGGCUGGGCAGUUAUGUAAUGACAACUUGUUAGGACCUUCUGAUAAUUACAAUAAUAAAAAUAAUAACCACAAAAAAGGCAGUUAGAGUGAAUUUUAUGGAUAGAGCGUUGCAUGGUAGGCAGGAGAAAGCACCCCACCCCCAGUUGUGAGGUGGAUGAGGGGUGGGAGCUGCUGGAUGAGUUUCCUUAACUUGGGGAGGGGGGCAAGUCAGGGGGACCAGGGGACUCAGCUUUGAGGAAUCUAUGGAAUUCUCAGCCCACAACUCUGUUCUGCUGUCAACUCCCUCUGCCCCUCUCACUCUGGCCAUGAUGGUUAGCUUAGCUCUGGGUGAUCAGAUGGAAGCUGGUUUGUCUCUGGAGUUCUGGCCUGCAGACCCAAAGACAGAGAGUCAGUUGAUCUCUAUGUCAGAAGCAACAAAGGGCAAAACUUGGGAGCUUAGCACGUUCCCUGCCUUGUGGGGGUACUGGUCAUCAGCGGGGGAGACUCAAGCCGAUAUCCAGAAAUAGGACAAGAGAUGCAGACAGUCUGAGUAGCACUCAAACUUUGGUUCCAGUUUUCCCUCAAGCCCAGCUGCACCCCAUCCCUCCCAUCGUUAAACACCUUCUUGGAUCCCUGAGUCAAUGAAUUCCCUUUUUGAGCUAGCUUGAGUUGGGGUUCCAUAUCUUACAAUCACAUUUGUAUGCCCAGGCUAGUGAAAUCACAGGGCACUGGUGGAAGAAUUCUCAUCUUCCAAGCGAGAGACCAGGGUUCAAUUCCCUGUCAGCGCACCCCAUGCACAGCCGCCACUCAUCUGUCAGUGAAAGCUUGCAUGUUGCUGUGAUGCUGGACAGGUUUCAGUAGAGCUUCCAGACUGAGACAGACUAGGAAGAAGGGCCUGGCAAUCUACUUCCAAAAAUCAAUGAAAACCUUAUGGAUCAUAACUAAUCCUGGGAAUGGCACAGAACCAGCCAGCAUUUCAUUUGUUGUGCAUGGGGUCACCAUCAGUCAGGGACAGACUUGGCAGCAGCUGACAACGAGUGAAAAAAAGGAUCUAGUUGGCUGAGGAAGAAGGGCACAAACCCCACAGCAGAAGAAAACUAGUAAGGAUCUGGAUAUUUGGGACCCAUAAGUGCUUCCUCUUGGCUUUACAAUGUUCUGAUGACUGUUGCAGUCAGUGCCAGUGAAAGCGCCAAAAGAAGAACAGUCAGAUUAAGUUGAAGAAUUGGAGCAGUGUGGCCUAAGGGAAGCAGCAAGAAAACUGAGGAGAGUUAAGGGGAAAGGCGAGGCUGCAGCUGCUACUGCUGUCUAAACUGAGACUCCAGGGACUCUGUGAAUAAGGAAACAUAACGUGGCCAGGAGACAGCAGGUUUAACCGCCCUAGUCAUUUGGAGGAGGACUUUAGCUGAUCUGGAGAACAGGGAGAGACACGUAAUACAUGUGACUCAAGAAGCCAUCUGAGUGUGACAUGCAGCCAGGAAUAGUUCAACCCUGCAGGAUUUGGAUAUCAAAGCAUCUCGUAAGAGAAAAUGGUAUGAAAUUUCAGUGCUAGAGCAGGUCAUCUGUCCGCAAACAAUAAGGUGACCACAAGUCCUGAUUCACCUGGGACAGCCCUGGUUUACACCCACUGUUCUGGCAUAAUUAUUAAUAGCACCUUCAGCCACACCCAAAAGUAUUCCUGGUUUGAAUGCUAAAUUGUAAGGUUACCCUAGCAAACAGCUGCCUUGGUGUUGUGCUACAACGAAGGGCGGGCUAUACUGUAGGGUCUCAGCCUAGAGAGGAAGUAUAACUUCUGCUCAGAGAGACACAGAGAAGCCCCAGGGAGCAGCGAGAGGAGAGAAAGGCAAAAAAUGACAGCUUUGGGAAGAAAGAGAUGAAAUAAAAUUGCUGUCCAGAGGUGGUGGGAAAAAAGAGGAAGUUGUCAGGGAAAGAGAAAAUGGUAUGGAAAAGCCAUCAGCAGCCAGAAGACAACUGCUGAGGGCUGAACAGGCGGAGCUGCUGGUGAGGUCUGGUGAGCUCAGAGCCACAAGACAUGUGACAGCAGGCAGAACGGAGACAGCCUUGGAGGAUACAGAAAGGUCACAGAUGGAGAUGAGUAGUUGCUGCACUUAAGGGAGGCAGAACCAGACUGGGCAGAAUCCAGACCUGAGUAAUUCACUCCAGGCAAUCAGGUCAGUGUGUGUCACAGCCAGGGAGCAGAGCUGUGCGGGAGCUGACGACAAACAAGUCCAGGCCAGCAUGGUCCUGGCCAAGGAGGAGAGGCUGGCGUUUGGAAGCUUCACACCAGUGAGUCCUCCAGAGAAGCUGCCGCUCACAGGUUCUCCUAAGGAUUCAUGUUCUUUGCCCUGAGAGAUUCAAAGUCACUGUCAACCCUGACUCUGGGAUAGACAUUGAAUUCUAAAAAGAUGAGCAUCUUAGAUCAACCCCUUAACUUGGACAAACAAGGAAAACGAGAUGCAAGAAGCUGAUGUCCCAGCUCCUCGGAUGCGUGCCAGAAUUUCGUGACUCUGGUGGGAGCGGGACUGCUCGCGUUGAGUGGGUGCUUCCUGUGCCUCCUGUGUAGAAGAACUGUAACUGCCUCGUCCUGGCUGUGGAAGAGAGACUACCCUACCUCGAAUAUUCUUCCUCUGUUUAAGUCCUGCAACUGGAAAACCGGAGAGACGUGGUGCUGGUCAGACUUACUUGUGCUUGUUCCUCUUAAAGGGAUUGAAAAAAAACAAAUUAAAAAAACCAGUUGAGCUGGAAUCAGUCCCCACUCCUGGCUCCCCCAAAUAUGUGAGAAUAGAACUGUGUUCUGUAAGCUUUAUCAGAGGUAGACUACAGGGCUUCUUCCCAGGUGCCCUCAGCAGACUCACUCAGGCUAGCAGCCUCGUGUGUUAACCAUCUGCACUACCCUGGGGCUCCUUGUAGUGGGAGUGUUGUUGUUAGGUGCUGCGGAGUUGGCCCCUGACUCCUGGUGACCCAUGCACAAUGGGGCAGGGCUGUUGGGAUCCACAGGCUGUUCACUGGCUGAUUUUUGGAAGUAGAUUGGUAAUUGCUAGGCCCUUCUUCCUACUCCAUCAUAGUCUGGAAGCUCUGCUGGAACCUGUUCAGCAUCACAGCGACACUCAAGCCUCCACUCAGAGGCAGGUGAUGGAGGCACAUGAGGUGCAUUGGCCAGGAAUCCAUCCUGGGUUUCCAGCUUAGAAGGUGAGAAUUCUACCUCUGAACCACCACAGCGCUCUUAAAUGGAUUGCCCGUUGCUGUCAAGCCAAUUCCAACUCAUAGCGAACUGCCCCAUAGGGUUUCCAAGGCUGUAACUUUUAUGGUAACAGACUGCCACAUUUUUCUCCCACAGAGCGGCUGGUGGGUUUGAACUGCUGACCUGUCAGCAGCCGAGCGCUUAACCACUGAGCCACCAAGGCUCCCAUCUUAAAGGGAUUAAAAACCAGAAAACCAAACCCAUUGCCGUAGAGUUGAUUCUGACUCAUAGCGACCCUAUAACACAGAGUAGAAUUGCCCCAUAGAGUUUCCAAGGAGCGCCUGGUGGAUUUGAACUGCCAACCUUUCGAUUAGCAGCUGUAGCUCUUAGCCACUAUGCCACCAAGGUUUCUCUUACAGGGAUUAGGUGCCCUCAAUUAUAGGUCCUUGAACUUUUGAGAGUUAAGAGCUUGGUAGGACAACUGGAUUGCUCCUAGCCGAAGGCCAGGCCUUGAGCAGCCCUGUCUCAGAUUCUCUUGGAUCUUUUAGAAGGACCGAUCCUCUACUGUGAGCAAUGAGACCCAUUGCUGUGUGAGUCAGCCUAGUGACUUCACCUGGUGAUACAGGACUUCACAACCUCAUUGGUGUCCGAUUUGGAGGCCAGAUGCCUGGUGUGGAGCCGGGAACUAAACUUUGAAAGAUAUCGAAGCAUUCCUACUAUUCCUAUGGUUGAAAACGCAGGAAUUUAUUUCUCUUACCAAAAAAAAAAAAAAAAAAAUGUGCAUUUAUUCUAAAAAUUUUUGAAACGUAGAGGAAAGCAAAAAGAAGAUGAAUGUCACACCGGUUCAGACUUAAAUACUACUACUAAUUUGAUGGCUCUUUCCAGUAAUUUAUUUGUGUAUAAAUAAUUUUCAGUAAUUCAAAAAAUACUGAGUUUCUAUUCUCUGCCGUGGAUGUUGUUUGGUACUGUGUAUAGAGUGGUGAGGGAAGCAUAGUGCUUGCCCUUAAGAAGCUAGCAGAUUAACGGAGGAAUCAGGUCAUGGGUAAGUAGAAAAAAAAAAAUACAUACUUGCAAAACGCCAAGCUCUAUGAAGGAACGUGGUGCUAUGGCAGAUUAUACCCAUGGUGUGGACUACCUACAUGGUCAGGGCAGGUGUCCCUGAGGAGGGACAAUUAGAAGGAGAACUAAAGGAUUAGAAAGAGCCAGCAGCAUUCCAGGAGGGAAGGGUCAAGACAGGCCCAAAGGCCUCAAGACCUCAACUGAAGGGCAGUCAGUGUGACUGAAGCUUACUGGGCCAGGGGAAAGGGACAGAAGGGGAAGUUAGAGGGGUGAGCAGGGGCUGGACAAUGCUUGUCUUCAUAGGAUGGAGUUCAACUUUUGAAAUGUUAUAUUCUAUAUCCUGAAUAUUCCUUUAACACCAUUAUUAGCACACACACAAACUUUAUUGGGAUUAUACCAUACUCAUUUUGCUGUUUGAUUUUCUUUGAAAGCUAAUUUGAUGUGGCUAUAAAUUUUUUUCUAUGAUUACAUAAUACUCCUAUGACAAGAUAAGACAGAAAUUAGUACAGACCCAGUGUGUGUGAGAGAAAGAAAAUUCUUCUGAAAUUGCAGGCCCCAGGUCUACAUUGCGUGUAUGUGUGUGUGCGCCUGUGUGUGUGCAAGUGUUUGCAUGUGUGUGAGUGCACGAGCCUGUGUGUGGAGCAUUGGGAAAAGAGCCUCUGAAAUGCUCAGAGAGGCCUAAGCCACAUCAUUUUUUUGAAACCCCCAGCAUAUUAAGAAAUAAACAUAUCUUUCAACACCCAAAUUGUGGUUUCUAAAUAUCAUUUCCCACUAAAAGGAAUAAAGGCUUCUUAGAGAGAUGAUUGAUUCCAGGUCUGAACCAGGAAAUGCACAAGAUGAGUCUGGAACAUCUUGUCAUAAAAGAAAGGAAGGAUAUUGUCAAAGACCACUAAAAAAACCCCCCAAAACAAAAACCAAACCUGUUGCUCUCGAGUAGAUUCCAACUCAUAGCGACCCUCCAGGACAUAGUAGAACUGCCCCAUAGGGUUUCCAAGGAGCGCCUGUGAAUUUAAACUGCUGACCUUUUGGCUGGCAGCUGUAGCUCAUAAGCACUAUGCCACUACGGUUUCCAAAGACCACUAAGGUGGUAUGAAAAAGUCACAGUAGCCAACUUGAAGGGGUUCAGUCUGGCCAAAUAUGGGGCCAUUUGGGUCUCAAUAAGAAUAAUAAUGGCAAUGUAUUAAAACAUGUCUACUAUGUUUAUUUGUUAAAAAUGUUUUAAUUUAUAAGUUCAUAAUGAUAUGAAAAAAAACUUGAUGAGUCACCUUUGGAGAAUGAUAUGGGAUCCAGUUGUUACUUUGAACACUGGUAAAUAAAGGGGAAGACUUAAACAUUUAUCUUGUGCCACUGGUUAACCCAACAGUUGAUGAGGGGAAGGUUCUCUUUGUUGAAGUAUUCCAGAAGGGAUGUCAGAGUUAGAAUAUCAUCAUUUUGCAAAUCCAUAAGGAAUUAACGGGUCUAGGCAAUGACUGUCAAUGACUAUUGACCUCCCAAAAGAGUGACAACCAGAUAUUAUGUGCCUCCAGAUAGAAGAAUUCAUGAAGUAAUUUUGUAAAAAAAAGAAAAAGUGAACUUGAAUCUCAUUGAAAUCACUCCAGCAGAUCUGUAUUAGUUUCCUAGGGCUGCCAAACAAACUACCACCAACUGGGUGUCUUGUAAGAACAGAAAUCUAUUGUCUCACAGUUCUGGUAGCUAGAAGUCUGAAAUCAGGGUAUCUGCCAUGUUGAUUCCUUCUGUGGGCUCUGAGGGAGAAUCUAUUCCAUGCUUCUCUCCUAGCUUCUGGUGAUGGCCAGCGAGCCUUAGCAUUCCUUGGCUUGUGGCAGCGUCACUCCAACCUCUGUCUCUGUCUUUACAUGCUUGUCUUCCUCUGUGUCUCUUCUCUUUUAUAAGGACACCACUCAGAUUGAAUCAGGACCCACCUUACUCCAGUGUGACCUCAUGUUAACUGAUAACAUCUUCAAAGACCCGAUUGCCAAACAAGAUCAUGUUUACGGGUACCAGAGGUUAGGACUUCAACAUACCUUUUGGAGGGGUUACAAUUCAAUCUAUAACUAGAUCCAAGUACAUGUUUACAAGAAACACAGGGGACAGAGAAAAAUGUUCAGCAGCAUUAUGAAAAUGCAGUAAUCGAAAUCCAGACUAUAGGAUAAGCUAAGACUUUCAUUAGGGUUAUUGUGAGGAUUAAGAGGUUUAAUACAUGCGAAGUGCUUAGAAAGGUCUUGGGCACUCAAUAAAUGUUAGCAAUUUUUUUUAUUGUCAUUACCAUUAUUAUGCUAAUUAUUAUAGCUGAGCACAACACUGUGUGCUAGGAGAGUCUCCUUCUCCCCUGAACUUUGAACAAUGGAGGCAGCACAGGAAUCAGAGGUAUUCAAGGUCCUCUGUGCUGCUGUGCGGCAGUAUCCCUAGAGGUGGUGCCUGAGAUAACCAGAGCUGGGCUGGGCUGGGCUGCGGGACGGGCUGCGGGACCAGCUGCUGUCAGCAAUGAACCACAACAGAACCACACAGCCCACUCUGCCCUCGGGUGAGCUGGUCAGUUUUCCCCAGUUUUUUGCUUCUGAGGAAGAAAAGAUAAGGAAGGAAAAAAUAAUUUCAUAGGAGCCAUUGAAUUUAAAAAUGUUAAAAGAGAUGUGAGCUUAUUUUGUAGUCCAUGUAUUGGGCUGCAUAUUAGUCAUUUCCACUCUGUAUAGUUUUUAUACAUUUUAAAAAUAGACUUCACUUUUUAGAACAGUUCUGAAUUUUUAGAAAAAUUGAGAAGUUAGCACAGGGAGUUUCCAUAUUCCCUGCACCUGUUUUCUCUAUUAUUAUCUUCUUAGUCUGAUACAAUUAGUGAACAAGUAUUGACACGUCAUUACUAACUGAAGUCCACACUUUUUUCAGAUGUCCUUAGUUUUUAUCUAAUGCCCUUUUUCUGUUCCAGGAUCCCAUCCAGGAUACCACAUUGCACUUCAUCGCCAUGUCUCCUUAGACUCCUUUUGGCUAUUAUCUUGGCUAUUCUGGGCCCAUUGCAUUUCUAUACGAAUUUUAAGAUCAGCUUGAAAUUUCUGCAGAAUAGGCAGCUGGGAUUUUGAUAGGGAUUCCAUCUGUAGAUAAAUUUGGUACAACAGUACAAGAGAGAUCAAGAAAGGACGAGCAUGAGGUGAAGUCAGCUAUCCGAAAUGGAAAGUCACGAUCCUUUGCCAGUUUCCAGACCUAAGGCGGUUCUCAGACCCAGAACUCAUCGAUGAAGGAAAAGCCAGGCCAGACCCCUGUGGGGAAAGAUCUGUACCAUCACAGCAAGUGUAUAGAGAGGUAGAUCAAAGAAGAAUUGAUGCCUUUGAAUUGUGUUCAUGAAGAAUAUUGAAUAUACCAUGGACUGCCAGAACAAACAAGUCUGUCUUGGAAAAAACGCAGCCAGAAGACUCCUUAGAAGCCAGGAUGACGGACAUCCAAUUUUGCCAGCACCAUUUGUUAAAAACACUGUUUUUUCCUCAUUUAAUGGAUUUGUUCCUUUGUCAAAGAUCAGCUGACCAUAGAUGCAUUUCAGCCAUUUACAUUCAGUAUGAUUAAAAAAAAAAAAUCCAUUUCCAUCGAGUCAAUUCCAACUUAUUGCUACCCUAUAGGACAGAGUGGAACUGCCCCAUAGGGAUUCCAAGGAGCAGCUGGUGGAUUCAAAUUGCUGACCUUUUAGUUAGCAGCCAAGCUCUUAACCACUGUGCUACCUGGGAUCCAAUUAUUGUUUGUUUUAGUCUGGAAGCUCCACUGAAACCCAUUCAGCAUCAUAGCAACACGCAAGCCUCUACUGACGGCCACGAGGUGCAUUGGCGGCGAAUGGACCCUGGGUCUUCGGGAUGGAAGGUGAGAAUUCUACCAUGGCACCUACACUGCCUUGGCAGUAUGUGCAGGAGCCUGAAUUUGAAUCCAGAUUUGCCUCAAAAAUGUGGACGUGAACAAAAAUGUGCUAAUGGUGAACAAAAAGAAGCGGUGGUGCCUGGUCUGAAUGGAAAGAAAAGGAGCCGUUUUACUUGCAAGGUCGAAAUCGACUCGUCGGCAACGGGUAGGGUAGGCUACGCUUACGAGGCUGUAUUUUUAAGAAACGGUAUUUGUUUUUGUAGUUUUAAUCCAAGAGUUUGUUAGUUUCUGCUGAUCUCUACUAAGAGAAUUUUAGCUUUUCUUUCUUUGACUGCCAUCUAGAGGCUGACAGGGGUAAUUACAGACAUAUUAGGCGUUCUAAGCACAAUACUCGGGGACCUCAAGAUGAUUCCGACUCAUUUGGACCCUGUAGGACACAGUAGAACUGCCACAUAGUUUCCAAGGCAGUAAAUUUUUUUUUUUUUUUGUACUUUAGAUGCAGGUUUACAGAGCAAACUAGUUUCUCAUUAAACAAUUAAUACAUAUAUUGUUUUGUGACAUUGAUUGCCAACCCCAUGACUUGUGAGCAUCACCCCCCCACUGCCCCGCCCUCGACCUUAGGUUUCCCAUUACGGACUUUCCUGUCCUCUUCUGCCUUCUCCUCCCUGCCCCUGAGCUGCAGUGCGCAUCUAGUCUCGAUUUGUUUAUGGGCUGUCUAAUCUUUGGCUGCAGGGUGAAUCCCAGGAGUGACUUCACUGAGUUAAAAGGGUGUCCAGGGGCCAUAUUCUUGGAGUAAGGCUGUAAAUCUUUACAGACGUGGACUGCCACAUCUUUCUCCUGUGCAGCGGCUGGUGGGUUUGAACCACCAACCUUUCAGCUAGCGGCCAAGUUACUUAACCACUGCACCACCAGGGCUCCCUUUCUGAGCAGAGAGGGAGGAGUAAAAGGAGUGGCCGGGAGAGAAGUCAUCAAGUCAAUCUUCCCCUGCUUUACUCUCCAAGUAAUGCUCAUCAGGUCUGUAUCUUCACAGAUAGUUGGGUUCUGGGGUUGAGAAGCCUAGACGUCCUUCUGCACUAUUCUUUGGCUUCCUUUACUUUUAUGCAGGAGUACUUCUGUCUGAAGCCUUGGCUCAGGAACAGGGUUGGAUUACCCAAUAGGCAAGGUAGGCACAGGCCCAAUUGUGCCUUCCCACCAAUCUGCAGUGCACAAUUUCAUCUGUCCCCCACCACGGCAAAGACAUGCUGAAACUCAUGUGAAAUUACUCACCACAGAUUAGCAAGUAAAUACAAUUAAGCCCUUGCAUAACUUGCUCAACGCAAGAUGGUGCAUAACAGCGUUUACUGGUUAAUCCGCUUCUGCUCAGGAAUCUUAUUUAAUUCAUGAAACUGACUGAGAGGUCCAUCUGCCAUUCAGAUGCUGGAGACAAGAAGCCACCUUGCCCUAGGAACCAGGCACAGAUUAUCUGGUAGGCCAGGUAAGCACAGUGCUUACCUUGCUUACCAGAUAAUCUAUUGUGAACAUGAUAUGGUGAAACUCAUGAGAAAUUGUUCACUACAGAUUAGUAAGUAAGCACUUGCUUACUGGGUCAUUCACCUCUGUCAGGGAUUGUAAGUUUGAAAAGAUGCUUUGAUUCUGUAGGAAGGUGCUGUGGGGUUGGAAGAGAGACAGAUGCCAGCCAUACCCAGCAGGAGAAUCUUUGAUGUGGUGAAAAAUGUGAAAUUGCUCACGACAGAUGAUCUGGUAAUUGCAUAAUCCAUCCCUGUUGGGAACACAUGAUGUAGUAUUUCAGCUACUGGAAGCUUCAGGUCUGGCCUCCCCCCAGGGCUCUUCCACAGAGGAAGAUGAAAAAAAAAAAAAAUCCAUUCUCUCAAGGACCAAAGACAACAGGGCUCUGCGAGUUUAGAGCAGGUGCAGCUGUUUUAGAAGGCAGGUCAGGUGACCAUCAAGAACCAGGACUAUGAGCAAAGGCUGUAAACAGACACUUCAUCAAGGAAGGCACUCAGGCAGCUAACAGACACGUGAGGAAACACUUGAGAUGAUUAGCCCUUAGAGAAAUGCAGAUCAAAACCACAAUGGGAUACCAUCUCACCCUGACAUUACUGGCACAAAUAAAAAAAACAGAAAAAUGUUGGAGAGGUUGUGGGGAGAUUGGAACUCUUACGUGCUGCUGGUGGGAAUGCAAAAUGGUACAGCCAUUUUGGAAAAUGAUUGACACCUCCUUAAAAAACUAGAAAUACCAUAAGAUCUAGCAAUCCCACUCCUAGGAAUAUAUCCUAGAGAAAUAAUAGCCGUCACAUGAAUAGAAAUACUGUUUGCAAAGCAAAAAGAUGGAAACAACCUAGCUGCCCAUCAACAGAUAAAUGAUAAACUAUGGUAUACACACAAUAGGAUACUAUGCAACAAUAAAGAACAAUGAUGAAUCCGGGAAACAUCUCACAACAUAGAUGAAUCUGGAGGGCAUUAUGUUGAGUGAAAUAAGCCAAUCACAAAAGGACAAACAUUGUAUGAGACCACUAUUAUAAGAACUCAAGGAAAGGAUUAUAGACAGAAAAAAAUUCUUUGAUAGUUAUGAGGGUGGGGAGGAAUGAAGAGUCGAAAUCACUCUAACUAGAUAGUAGACAAGUAUCAAAUUUGGUGAAGGGAAAGACAGUACACAAUAUAGGGGAAGUCAGCACAACUUGACCAAGGAAAAGUCAUAGAAGUUUCCUAGACACACCCAAAUGCCUUGAGGGACUGAGUUGCAGGGGCUAAGAGCUGGGGACCAUAGUCUCAGGAGACAUCUAGGUCAGUUGGCAUAACAUAGUUCAUAAAGAAAAUGUUCCACACCCCACUUUGGCGAGUAUUGUCUAGGGUCUUAAAAGCUUGUGAGUAGCCGUCUAAGAUACAUCUAUUGGUACCAUCACUUUCCAGGCAAAAGAGAAUGAAGUAAACCAAAGACACAAGGAAAAAUUAAUCCAAAAGGCUAAUGGACCACAUGAACCAUAGGCUCCACCAGCCUGAGCCCAGAACAACUAGAUGGUGCUCAGCUACCUCCACUGACUUUUCUGACAGGGGUCACAACAGAGAUUCCCAGACAGAGAGGGAGAAACAUGUAGAACAAAAUUCAAAUUCAUGAAAAAGACUAGGCUUACUGAUAUGACAGAGACUGGAGGAAUCCCUGAGACCAUGGCCCCUGGAUACUGUGCUGACUGAGAACAGAAACCACACCUGAAUCCCACUUUUCAGACAAAGAUUAGACAGACCUAUAAAAGAAAAAAUAACACACAUGAGGAACGUGCUUCUCAGGCAAGAAGAGAUAGGAACUGGAUGAAUGGACACAGGGAACCUGGGGUGGAAAGGGGGAGCAUGCUGUCACAUUGUGGGGAUUGCAACCAAUGUUGCUAAAAAAGUAUGUGUAUAAAUUUUUGAAUGAGAAACUAGAGCUAUAAACUUUCACCUAAGGCCCAAUAAAAUCAAACAAAUUAAAACAGAAAGAAAAAAAUAAAGAACCAGGACCAUCCAGGGGCUCGGUUCCUGAGAAUGAUGGUGGGAACAACCUCGCUUGGAAGGAUCUCAGAGACAGAAGGCAGAGACAAUCACUACUGACCUACACAUUGCCAGCUCAACGGCCACUUCUCAGUGCUCCGCUUGCCUGACUUCUCAGCGGUGUUCGACAGUGUUGGUUGCUCCCCCUCCCUGAUGUGCUAUCUUUACUUGGCUUCCAGACACCACACUCCCUUGGUUGUCUUCACUGGUCCCUCUUCUCAGGCUCUCUGCUGAGUAUUAUGGUGCUCUUCAACCCCAUAAUGUCAGAGCGUCCUAGUUCUCUGUCCUUGGCCUUUUCCUUAUCUACACUCACUCUCCUGAGAUCUCAUCCAGUCCCUUGCCUCUAAAUACCAUAGUUAGCUCUAAUAACUCCCAAAUACCUGGGUGGCACACCUGGUUUAGCACCAGACUUCUAGCCAAAAGGUUGGUAGAGCCCAUCCAGAAAUGCCUGGAAGAAAGGCUCAGGGCUCCAGUUUCUCCACAUCCUCACCAACACCAGUUUUUUCCCAUUUAUUUUCAUCGUUGUCAUUCUAAUGGAGUGAGGUGGUAUCUCAUUGUAGAUUUUUUUACCAUGUACCUUUUUAAAUAUAAUUUAUUUUUGUUGUUGAGAAUAUAUACACCAGAACCUAUACCAAUUUUACAAUUUCUACAUGUACAAUUUAGUGACAUUUGUUACAUUCUUCCAGUCAUGAAACCAUUCUCAUCCCCUUUUUCUGAGUUGUUCCUGCCCCAUUAACAUAAAGUCACUGCCCCUAAGUUUCCCAUCUAAUCUUUCUAGUUGCUGUUGUCAAUUUGAUCCCAUAGAGAAAGAUCUUAAAAGAGCACAAUGCUCAAGGCAGACAUUCUUUUCUAGUUAAGCUAAACUUGACUCAGUUGUUUUUAUUUCCAUGCUAAAAAAACCCUUCAAUUGUUCCCAUUUCACUCAGUGUAAGAUCCAAAGUCCUCACAAUGGUACAUGAUUCUGGAUCCUCCAAGGAGCAGAUGCCAAGGUGGCAUUAAACGAGCAAGGUUUUUGUUAGAGGAACUGCCUGUGAGGAAAAAUUGGGAGGGAGUAGGGAGUUUGAGAGAGCCUUCAGACUGGGAUGCAAGUCAGAGCCCAAGUGAAGGGGCGAGGGAAUCAAACUCAGGUGAAAAGGUCCUAGACUGCUCAGCAAUCUAAAGAGGUUCUAUGAGAUGGUUUGGGAAUCCCUUCAGAAAAGUUGGUGUUUCCCAGGAAAAUGCCUGCCUUCAUAUCCCCUCUGAGGUCCAUUAUGGGCUGGAGCAGCCCUGAGAAAUGUGCAUGGAUUUCCUAUGGCAAGAUUUUGGCCUUGAUCAACUAUGCUCCUUGUAGUUGAGGGUUUGUGAGGCUCCCACAAAUGGUUUACAAGGCCCUGUAUGAUCUGGAUGGAGCCCUGGUGGUAUAGUGGUUAAGAGCUACAGGUGGAAACCAAAAGGCCAGCAAUUUGAAUCCACCAGCUCCUCCUUGGAAACCCUUUGGGGCAGUUCUACUCUGUCCUAUAGGGUCACUAUGAGUCAGAAUUGACUCAACAGCAAUGGGUUUGGUUUUUUUCAUAGGUAUGAUCUGGCUUGCUGAUAUACCUACCCCUCCUUCAAUUCUACCUUCUCAGUGAGGCUUGCCCUGACCCUAUAGUUUAUAUUUUGACCUGCAUCUCCUGCACCUACAAUCCUAAUGCCACUCAACCUACUCUUCCUUUCCUUUUUUUCCUUCUAGCACUUGUUGCCUUCUAGUGUGCUAUGUUGUUGUUGUUAGGUGCCGUCCAGUCAGUUCCAACUCAUAGUGGCCCUACGUACAACAGAACGAAACACUGCCUGGACCUGCACCAUCCUCAUAAUCAUUGCUAUGUUUGAGCCCAUUGUUGCAGCCACUGUGUCAAUCCAUGUCACUGAGGGCCUUCCUCUUUUUCACUGACCCUCUACUCUGCUAAGCAUGAUGUUCUUCUCCAGGGACUGGUCCCCCCCUAAUAACAUGUCUGAAGCAUGUGAGACGAAGUCUUACUUACCAUCCUCACUUCCAAGGAGCAGUCUGGCUGUACUUCUUCUGAGAUAGAUUUGUUCAUUCUUCUGGUAGUCCAUGGUAUAUUCAAUAUUCUUUGCAAACACCAUAAUUCAAAGGCAUCAAUUCUCCGUAGGUCUUCCUUAUUCAUUGUCUAGCUUUCACAUGCAUAUUAAGCGAUUGAAAACACCAUGGCUUGGGUCAGAAGAAUCUUAGUCCUUAAAGUGACAUCUUUGGUUUUUAACACUUUAAAGAAAUCUUUUGCAACAGAUUUGUCCAAUGCAAUAUGUUGUUUGACUUCUUGACUGCUGCUUCUAUGGGCAUUGAUUGUGGAUCCAAGUAAAAUGAAAUCCUUGACAACUUCAAUCUUUUCUCCAUUUAUCAUGAUGUUGCUUAUUGGUCCAGGUGUGGGGAUAUAUUCAACUUAUUUAUUAUGUCUAUUUUAAUUGUCUAUGUCCAUCCUCUGGUAUGUUAGCUGCAUGUUUAUUAACAUAAUCCAAGUACUGGAACCAUGCCCGAUACGUGGUAGUCACUCAAUAAAUAUUUGUUGAACAAAUGAAUGUUGUCCUAAUUUGGU